AUGGCCGAUAGUCCCUCUCAGUCCGAGCCUCUGGCUUUGCAAGAGCUCAGUGAUGACUUCAAGAAGCCAACCCUGCCGGUGCCCCCAGUUAUGCGGAGCAAGGCCCCGACCACCAAUCCUUCAAACCCUGAAGAGGUGAAGAAGGAAAGGCCCGCGGCGCUGCUAGAGCCCGAUUCCGGGGAACCUGAGGUCCCGCCAGCCCGGCCGGACAGCGGGGGCACCAGGAGUCCACCAAAGGAGCAGCCGCGGCCCCCCACAGCGGCUCCUUCCCUUGGAGGCCCGGCCCGGGCUCCCCCUUACCGAGAGCCGCCGUGGAGUGGCCCCGCGCCGGCCCCCUACAGCCUAGAGACACUCAAGGGCGGCACGAUCCUUGGCACCCGUAGCUUGAAAGGGACGAGUUGCUGCCUUUUCGGGAGGCUGUCUAGCUGCGACGUGUGCCUGGAGCACCCUUCGGUGUCCCGGUACCACGCCGUGCUGCAGCACCGGGCGUCCAGCCUCGAAGGAGAAUGCGACGGCCACGGGCCGGGCUUCUACCUUUACGAUCUGGGAAGCACUCACGGCACUUUUCUUAACAAAACCCGCAUCCCACCCCGCACCUAUUGUCGCGUCCACGUCGGGCAUGUUCUUCGCUUUGGAGGCAGCACCCGGCUCUUUCUUCUUCAGGGACCAGAGGAAGACCGAGAGGCAGAAUCCGAGUUGACGGUAACGCAACUGAAGGAAUUGCGCAAGCAGCAACAAAUGAUGUUGGAGAAGAAGAUGUUAGGGGAAGACUCCGAUGAGGAAGAAGUGGAUACCACUGAAAAUAAGAGAAAUACUAGUAAUCAAGAUGAUGAAAUGGGCUGCACCUGGGGAAUGGGAGAAGAUGCUGUAGAAGAGGAGGCUGAAGAGAACCCCAUUGUCUUAGAGUUUCAGCAGGAAAGGGAGGCUUUUUAUAUAAAGGAUCCAAAAAAGGCUCUCCAAGGUUUUUUUGACCGAGAAGGAGAAGAAUUAGAAUAUGAAUUUGAUGAACAGGGACAUAGCACUUGGCUCUGCAGGGUGAGAUUACCUGUGGAUGAUUCAACCGGAAAACAACUGGUAGCUGAGGCAAUUCAUUCAGGAAAGAAAAAAGAAGCAAUGAUCCAGUGUUCACUGGAAGCUUGUCGAAUCCUUGAUACUUUGGGAUUGCUGCGGCAGGAGGCAGUAUCUCGGAAAAGGAAAGCCAAGAACUGGGAGGAUGAAGACUUUUAUGAUAGUGAUGAUGACACGUUUCUUGAUCGGACUGGCCUGGUUGAAAAGAAGCGUCUGAACCGAAUGAAGAAAGCUGGGAAGAUUGAUGAGAAGCCAGAGACCUUUGAAUCAUUGGUUGCAAAGUUAAAUGAUGCUGAAAAGGAACUCUCUGAGAUUUCUGAGAAACUGAAAGCCUCAAGCAAAGCUCUGUCAGAGUCACCAUCUCAAGACUCUUUAGAUGCAUUUAUGUCAGAAAUGAAAUCAGGGAAUGCAUUGGAUGGUGUGUCCCGGAAGAAACUUCACCUGAGAACUUUUGAACUGAGGAAAGAACAACAGAGACUUAAAGGGUUGAUAAAAAUUGUAAAGCCAGCAGAGAUUCCAGAGCUGAAAAAGACUGAAAGUCAGGCUACAGAUGUGGAAAACAAAGCUAAAAAGCUUACAUUGCCUCUCUUUGGUGCCAUGAAAGGAGGAAGCAAAUUCAAAUUAAAAACGGGAACAGUAGGGAAGUUACCCCCUAAGCGUCCAGAACUCCCUCCAGCUCUAAUGAGAAUGAAGGAUGAGCCUGAAGUAGAAGAGGAGGAGGAAGAGGAAGAGGAAGAUGAGAGGGAAAAGGAGGGGGAUGAAAGGGGGAAAAUGGAGGCUGGAAGCAGUAGGCUGCAGCAGGAGACAGAGCCAGAAGAUGCAAUGCAGGAAGCGAGGCCUGCCACUGACCUCACUUGUUCUAAAGAGGCAAAAACCCAUGAAAACAUGUCUCAACUCAGCCAAGUGGAACAGAAUAAAGAUUAUCAAGAGAUCAGUGAAACAGCUGCAUCAUGUGAGGAACCCUCAGCAUCAGAGAAUGAAUAUGAGAAAAACAGAGAUGAAUUGAAGAAAAAGAAAGCUCUCGGUCCAGGCAAACUUCCAGCAACACUUUCCUCCAAAUAUCCAGAAGAUGACCCAGACUACUGUGUGUGGGUCCCACCUGAAGGCCAAAGUGGAGAUGGCAGGACCCAUCUGAAUGACAAGUAUGGCUAUUGACUGCUUCAGAAUCCUAAAGGAAGACCUUGUGGACCAUGUGACAUGGGAUAUGUAGGGUCCUAUAUCAAGUUGAAUGUCCAGAGAAGGAGUUCAGGACUGUGACUGGGUGUGUUGUAUAAGGCCCUGCGCCGUGGGAGUUGGCUUCCAUGAUCUCGCCCUUAUCCUCCACGAUUCAGUAACUUUUGAUCCGUUGGUAUCCUCGAGCAAUCCCACUGGCUGGCUGUUUCAGCAGGGGCAGCCACUUGGCUGCCAGUCUGUGAAGAUCCAUCUUUAGUAAUGCAGACUUGAUGUAGGACAGUUGGACAGUUUCUCAGAGAGUGCACUGGCAUCCCUCGUGUUAUGGGAGUUGACUUUAAAGGAUGAGGAUGAAAAUGUUUAAUUUUAGCAGUUACACAUAUAAAUAUACACAUAUAUUACUUAUAUACGGAUGCAUAUGUGUUGUUGCUUAAAAUGAAGUCAAUUUUUUAAGUGAGUUUAUUUAAAGAAAAGUGUUAAGUAAUUAAUAGUAUGGUGGUAUGCAAUAGCCAAAAGGCAUGAAGCAGGUGUACCAAUGACUCAAGUUCAAGGAAUUGUUGUGAGGUGGGAAGAUGUAACUAGAGUCACAAAAUUCAUUUCAAGUCUGGCUCUGUGACCCUCAAGCCAUGUAACCCUGAAUAAGUUGCUCACCUUAAGUGAGCUUCAGUUUUCUCAUUCUUUCUGCAAAGUCGGAAAAGAAUUCUAGCCCUCCUUAACUCAAAUGAGAACAAAUGGGAGCACAUGGAAGCCUGGGAAACCCCUGUGCAAAUGUCCAGUGGUGCUAAUAUCCUAAUUCCCUGUCUUACUGAGGUUUAUCCAGGACCUCCUGUCUCUGUCUCUCUUUCUUUAAUAUUUAUUUAUUUAUUUGAGAGAGAGAGAGAGCCUGAGUGCAUGAGUGGGGAGGAGGAGCAGAAGGAAAGAAUCUCACGCAGACUCCCUACUGAGCGUGGAGCCCAACCACUCAGGCUCAAUCCCAUGACCCCUAGAUCAUGACCAGAGCCAAAAAUCAAGAGUCUGAUGCUUAACUGACUGAGCCACCCAGGCGCCCCCAGGACUUUCUCUUUACUGCUGCAGAGGGUGCCUCCUAAUUAGCAUGCAUUUCCUAGCAUCCCAAGGACUGAGUUCAGUUCACUUAGUUGUCCACACCUAUGUCUGCCAUUCUGAAGACUGGGAGGAGGGAGGGGCUGGAGAAGCUUGGAAUCUGGGCAAAACAAGUCCCAACACAUGUCACUGUUUGCUUUGUCAUCCUGAUUCAAUGACCUCAUGCAAGGAAGGGAGGGAGCCGAAGGAGCUGUUCUCUUCCAGAUACCUAAGGAGGCUUCUGACAUCCACUGUUUUCCUUGGCAUGAGAGGAGCAGGCGCGGGGCUGUGAUGUUUAAGGUCUGAGCUAAUCUUGGAAGUGAAGGAGAACAGCACCUCCCACAGCUGGCCAGACUCUGCUUCUUGGGGAGCUGCCUAGAGUAAAAGGGCAGAAGAGGAAUGACCCCAGGGGCCAGGGAGGAUCAUUAUCCUCACACACUCAUACCUUUAGUGAAUACUUUCUGAGUACCCACUAUGUACCAGGCCUUUUGGGGAAAUGAGGCAGCCAUGUGAGUCAAAAGGCUGCAUAGGACCUUAGAGUCACAUUUUUACCACAGAAAUCCUUUUGUCAUCCUUACCCCAGCCCUUCUCCCACCCUAGACUUAAUUAAAGUUUAAAUAAAUUAUGUUGUCACCCAAAAAUUGCAUUUAUUAAUUAUUUACUUCUAAGUUCUUCGUAAUUAAUGAUUUAUGUAACUGCAAACCAGUAAAUGUUUUUGAUCAACACAAGGUAAUAACUGACAUUACUACACCGAGUAAGUACCCAGUCAGACAAAAGCGAAGUAAUCAGCAUUUUAGCUAUCCUGUUUAUCCUGGUUGAGCUUUUUAAAAUUUGGAGAGUGGCCGGCCAACUACCUGGGGAGUCCGUUUUAGAGAUGGUGACCAUGACCGCUGGGUUUUGAAGGAUAAGCAAGAGUUCAUAAGCAGAGAAAGAGGGUGCUGCAGCAGGCAGAGGGGGCAGAACAGUCCCACACUGCUGCUGUCCCUCCUCCACCCUUGGGCUGAUCGAAUGGAUCAGGCUGUGGCAUGAACUUAGUGGGUGGAAGCUGAGUUUUGGAAGGGAGCUAAUGAGGGUGGAGAUGAGAAUUGGAAAUUUUAUGGUCGAAUGUUCUAGUCUGUCCACGUCAUGGUCCUGGAGAAACUGAGGCAGGAAAUCCCACUAGCGUCCCUUUGGUUCCCAAGGGCAGAAGGGAAAAAGACAGCAAAGGACAAGCCAAAACUCUGCCCCAGAGCUGGCCUGAAACCUGUCUCCCACCCUGGCUGCCCCACCCCUUAACUCCAAUAGCAGACCAUUU